rnacentral:rRNA from 1 species
GAUGAACGCUGGCGGCGUGCUUGAUACAGGCAAGUCGAACGGGGGUUGAGGAGACUCGCAAGGGUCAAAUGAAUCCCAGUGGCGGACGGGUGAGUAACACGUAGGUAAUCUACCCUCUUGUGGGGAAUAGCUGUCCGAAAGGGCAGGUAAUACCGCAUAAGUUCCGAGAGGAAGAAAGCAGCAAUGCGCUGGAGGAUGAGCCUGCGGCUGAUUAGCUAGUUGGUGAGGUAACGGCCCACCAAGGCGAUGAUCGGUAGCUGGUCUGAGAGGACGAUCAGCCACACUGGAACUGACACACGGUCCAGACUCCUACGGGAGGCAGCCGUAAGGAAUAUUGCACAAUGGGGGAAACCCUGAUGCAGCGACGCCGCGUGAGCGAUGAAGGCCUUCGGGUCGUAAAGCUCUUUUCUGUGGGAUGAAACAAGACAGUACCACAGGAACAAGUCUCGGCUAACUACGUG